rnacentral:rRNA from 1 species
UAGGGAAUCUUCCGCAAUGGGCGAAAGCCUGACGGAGCAACGCCGCGUGAGUGAUGAAGGUCUUCGGAUCGUAAAACUCUGUUAUUAGGGAAGAACAAAUGUGUAAGUAACUAUGCACAUCUUGACGGUACCUAAUCAGAAAGCCACGGCUAACUACGUGCCAGCAGCCGCGGUAAUACGUAGGUGGCAAGCGUUAUCCGUAAUUAUUGGGCGUAAAGCGCGCGUAGGCGGUUUUUUAAGUCUGAUGUGAAAGCCCACGGCUCAACCGUGGAGGGUCAUUGGAAACUGGAAAGCUUGAGUGCAGAAGAGGAAAGUGGAAUUCCAUGUGUAGCGGUGAAAUGCGUAGAUAUAUGGAGGAACACCAGUGGCGAAGGCGACUCUCUGGUCUGUAACUGACGCUGAGGUUCGAAAGCGUGGGUAGCAAACAGG